UCCCUGGUGGUCUGGUGGUUAGGACUGGGGCUUUCACUUCAGCAGCCCAGGUUCAAUCCCUGGUCUGGGAA
rnacentral:tRNA from 1 species